rnacentral:rRNA from 1 species
UACGGGGGGAGCAAGCGUUGUUCGGAUUUACUGGGCGUAAAGGGCGCGUAGGCGGCGCAACAAGUCACUUGUGAAAUCUCCGGGCUUAACCCGGAGCGGCCAAGUGAUACUGUCGUGCUAGAGUGCGGAAGGGGCUACUGGAAUUCUCGGUGUAGCGGUGAAAUGCGUAGAUAUCGAGAGGAACACCAGUGGCGAAGGCGGCGACCUGGACGGAUACUGACGCUGAGGUGCGAAAGCGUGGGGAGCAAACAGG